rnacentral:lncRNA from 10 species
GAUAUGCUUUAUAUUUUUCUUUCAGUUAUAGCUUAUCUCCUCUUAGUAGGUGGGCUAGUCAGACUUUUUGUUUUUCUCUUUCAAAAGGAGGCUUAGCAUUUCCACUGUGAUCACUGCCCUUACCAGGUCUGCUCAAAUUAUCUCUGCCAUCAUCCUGUCAGACAAAGGACACUGCCUGCGUCUUCUGAGUUCCAGGAUGCCUGGUGGAUAUAAGGCUCUAAAAGUCUCUGUAUUAGUUCCAUCAAAGUGAUAAACUUCAACCCCUCCAGGCCCCGGGAAUGGCUGGGUAUAAUACUGCAAAUGAGACAUAGGAAGUAUACAGGAAGUUCUCUUCAAACUUCGGACUCCGAGCAGUGGCUGGGCUUCCAGAGUCAAGCUCUAGCAGAGCACUCCCCACCAACAAUCUCUAGAUCUUUGGCCCUAUGCCUAAACAAUUAUGAACUAUGAAUAAUGCAGCUGUGGUAUCUGAAGAA